UACGUAGGGUGCAGGCGUUAAUCGGAAUUACUGGGCGUAAAGCGUGCGCAGGCGGUUUGUUAAGACAGAUGUGAAAUCCCCGGGCUUAACCUGGGAACUGCGUUUGUAACUGGCAGACUGGAGUGUGGCAGAGGGGGGUGGAAUUCCAAGUGUAGCAGUGAAAUGCGUAGAUAUCAUGGGGAACACCAAAAGCGAAGGCAGUACAUUGGGCCACUCCUGACACUGAAACACGAAAGCGUGGGUAGCGAAUGGGAUUAGAUACCCGAGUAGU
rnacentral:rRNA from 1 species